rnacentral:hammerhead_ribozyme from 1 species
ACACUACUGAGGAGUCCCACAAUAGGAUGAAACGACCGUCCAGUGU